UACGGAGGAGGCAAGCGUUAUCCGGAAUUAUUGGGCGUAAAGCGUCCGCAGGUGGCACUUCAAGUCUGUCGUCAAAGACUGGGGCUUAACCCUGGAAAGGCGGUGGAAGCUGAAGCGCUAGAGUGCGGUAGGGGUAGAGGGAAUUCCCGGUGUAGCGGUGAAAUGCGUAGAGAUCAGGAAGAACACCGGUGGCGAAAGCGCUCUGCUAGGCCGCAACUGACACUGAGGGACGAAAGCUAGGGGAGCGAAUGGG
rnacentral:rRNA from 1 species